rnacentral:lncRNA from 1 species
AGGAGGAGGAGGAUGCUAUGUGACAUCUCACAGGUUGUCAUGACCCCGGAAGACACUCAGAUCCGUGUUAAAAUGUUGGACCCACUUCCAAGAGAGCUAAAUAGAGUUGUCUUAUUACAUCAGAGGGUGGAUAAAGAUAUCAUGAUUUUCUAUUGCCUGGGACAGGGCCUCAUGGUGAAGAAAGGUGUCAAAACAAAAGCACUUCAACUUCAGGAGCAAAAACCAAGACACUAGAGUCAGAGUUAACAUUCCCUUCAAGGCUGUGUGCAGCUUUACAGCUCAAGCAUGCCAGGGCUACCGUGAGGCAUCAUUCCCAGGGCAGCAAGGAGCCCUGGAGGGUCCCUUGAAGUGGAAAGGGAUGUUUCUUGAGUGGCAUAUUGAGAAAGAACAAUAGCUGGGGGCUUCUGGGGGCAAAGCUUUCGGCUUACACCGGUGGGUACCUGAUGAAAUACAUCACAAUGUGUCAUUGAAGUGUGGAGCCUUGCAGCCCCGUGGGGUCACCUGUCCCUCCCCCUGCUCAGGCAGAUCAUUCCUCACACUCUGUUUCUGAGCUCUUUGUCCGGUGGCUUUGUGCACCUCAAGCGAUGGGGCUUCCACCUCCUCCCUUGGGAUGCCAUUCCACACUCAAAUAGAGCCAGCUCCUAAGCAGGCUGUCCUGAUAUUCAGCCCAACUUUUCCUUUCUGUAAUUACAUCCCAUUCCUCUCGGCUUUACCCCUUGGCGUGACCCCGGACAAUUCUUUCCCUUCAUCGGUGUGCCUACACCCUUGCUCGGGGAGUGUAUUUGAUCCUCCGGUCUUUUUGUCCUGCCCGAGCCUUGCUUAUUCCUGGCUUGUGCUGCGGGAGUCCUUAUGAGCAGCUCCUGCUGCUCUCUGCUUUAAUCCUCGUGGCUCCCCUGCUUUGAUUUCUGUCCAAUUUGCCUAUUUCUUUCAGGGGUACUGAAGAGCCCCGAAUGAACCCUGGGCUUCUUCACUAUAUUAUUUAUUAAUCUUUUAUAUGGGAGAUCUUCUCAAUGAUGAUAAAGCAGGUUGGCUGGAAAAUAAAAAAUCCCUUUGAAAGACAGAGUUGAUGUGAACUCCUGUGAUCAGGACUCUGGGCACUUCAGAGAGAAAUGAGUUUGCAGUCCCACCACCCAGCCCUCUGAUACCCAGGCAGCUGUACUUCCUUGUACUGCAGAGGGCAAAGGAGGCUGGGAUUUAGGGCACAGAUGGAUCAGAGUGGCCCUCCCCAGUCAGUCUCUCUCACCCAGACUGUUCCCCAAGGCCAGACUCCGGGUUGCCCCUCAACAACCCUUCAUUUGACUCCCCUCCCUCCAUGAUUGGUGUGACUGGAUGGGAUCAUCCUGACUUUUUUUUCUGAAUCAGCUCAGUAUUUUUCCCCACUUUCUUCUAUGGUGCCUCCUGUAUUUCUUUCGUCUUCACGUACCCCCUAGUAAGCUUCAUGUAGAACUUACCUUGAUCGCAAUAUUCUGUUGGGGGCAAGAGCCAAUGUAAUUAAAAUAACAAGACAGAGAGUUCUGGCUGGCUUGGGGUUUCCAGUCACAAGUGGGAGAACAGUAGGUGGAGGCUAAAAUGCAAGUGUAGUUGAAUGAUGCGGGGCUGUGAAGCAAGAGUGACCUGGAGCCCAUAUGAAUUCCAUCAAGCUUGAGAACGGCGCAUUGCCAGGCAUGGUCAUGCAUGCCUGUGGAGGCAGAAGCAGGUUCAUCUUUGUGAGGGCCAGGUCAGCUUGGUCUAUACAACAGGUUCCAGGUUAGCGGGAGCUACAUAGUGAGAUGUGUCUUGGGAUCAUUUUUAACAGAAUCGGUUUAAGGGACCAGCCAUGCAUGAUCAGUAGACAGGGAAAAUCAAGGCCUAGGCAAGAAAGAUGGUUAGCAAGAUGUCAAGUCAAGUAUAUAUAUAUACAAAGCUUCACUGUUUAGUGUUGACAAAGAGC